GAUGAACGCUGGCGGCGUGCCUAACACAUGCAAGUCGAGCGAUCUUCUUCGGAAGAGAGCGGCGGACGGGUGAGUAACGCGUGGGUAACCUGCCCUGUACACACGGAUAACAUACCGAAAGGUAUGCUAAUACGGGAUAACAUGAGAGAGUCGCAUGGCUUUUUUAUCAAAGCUCCGGCGGUACAGGAUGGACCCGCGUCUGAUUAGCUAGUUGGUAAGGUAACGGCUUACCAAGGCGACGAUCAGUAGCCGACCUGAGAGGGUGAUCGGCCACAUUGGAACUGAGACACGGUCCAAACUCCUACGGGAGGCAGCAGUGGGGAAUAUUGCACAAUGGGCGAAAGCCUGAUGCAGCAACGCCGCGUGAGCGAUGAAGGCCUUCGGGUCGUAAAGCUCUGUCCUCAAGGAAGAUAAUGACGGUACUUGAGGAGGAAGCCCCGGCUAACUACGUGCCAGCAGCCGCGGUAAUACGUAGGGGGCUAGCGUUAUCCGGAAUUACUGGGCGUAAAGGGUGCGUAGGCGGUCUUUCAAGUCAGGAGUGAAAGGCUACGGCUCAACCGUAGUAAGCUCUUGAAACUGUAAGACUUGAGUGCAGGAGAGGAGAGUAGAAUUCCUAGUGUAGCGGUGAAAUGCGUAGAUAUUAGGAGGAAUACCAGUUGCGAAGGCGGCUCUCUGGACUGUAACUGACGCUGAGGCACGAAAGCGUGGGGAGCAAACAGG
rnacentral:rRNA from 1 species